UGGGGAAUAUUGCACAAUGGACGGAAGUUUGAUGCAGCGACGCCGCGUGGAGGGUGUAGGCCUUCGGGUUGUGAACUCCUUUUUCUCGCGAAAAAGGCACAGUUUUGGCUGUGUUGAUGGUAGUGGGGGAAGAAGCGCCGGCUAACUACGUGCCAGCAGCCGCGGUAAUACGUAGGGCGCGAGCGUUGUCCGGAUUUAUUGGGCGUAAAGGGUACGUAGGCGGUUUAAUAAGUCCUAAUUAAAAGGCUAUGGCUCAACCAUAGUAUGGUUAGGAAACUGUUGAACUUGAGUAGAUGAGGGGAAAGUGGAAUUCCAUGUGUAGCGGUGAAAUGCGUAGAUAUAUGGAGGAACACCAAUGGCGAAGGCAACUUUCUGGAAUCAAACUGACGCUGAGGUACGAAGGCGUGGGGAGCAAACAGG
rnacentral:rRNA from 1 species